UGUAAAUAAGAACUUAAACAGGCUUCCCUCAGUAACUGCGAGUGAAGAGGGAAAAGCCCAGCACCGAAGCCUGUGUCUGUUUAGUCGCUAGGCCAUGUGGUGUUUAGGUUGCUUGGCGAGGUCACUGUUCUACUCAAAGUCCUGUUAUGAAUACGGUUUAUGGACAUGGCCCAGAGAGGGUGAAAGGCCCGUGUGAGUAGAGUCUGGCGGUGGCUUCCUAGGCUAACCUUGGAGUCGGGUUGUUUGGGAAUGCAGCCCAAAGUGGGUGGUAAACUCCAUCCAAGGCUCAAUACCGGCACGAGUCCGAUAGCGAACAAGUACCGUGAGGGAAAGUUGAAAAGUACUCUGAAGAG
rnacentral:rRNA from 1 species